UGAACGCUGGCGGCGUGCCUAAUACAUGCAAGUCGAGCGAACAGAUGAGGAGCUUGCUCCUCUGACGUUAGCGGCGGACGGGUGAGUAACACGUGGAUAACCUACCUAUAAGACUGGGAUAACUUCGGGAAACCGGAGCUAAUACCGGAUAAUAUAUUGAACCGCAUGGUUCAAUAGUGAAAGACGGUUUUGCUGUCACUUAUAGAUGGAUCCGCGCCGCAUUAGCUAGUUGGUAAGGUAACGGCUUACCAAGGCAACGAGGCGUAGCCGACCUGAGAGGGUGAUCGGCCACACUGGAACUGAGACACGGUCCAGACUCCUACGGGAGGCAGCAGUAGGGAAUCUUCCGCAAUGGGCGAAAGCCUGACGGAGCAACGCCGCGUGAGUGAUGAAGGUCUUCGGAUCGUAAAACUCUGUUAUUAGGGAAGAACAAAUGUGUAAGUAACUAUGCACGUCUUGACGGUACCUAAUCAGAAAGCCACGGCUAACUACGUG
rnacentral:rRNA from 1 species